GAUGAAGAACGCAGCAAAAUGCGAUAAGUAAUGUGAAUUGCAGAAUUCAGUGAAUCAUCGAAUCUUUGAACGCACAUUGCGCCCGCCAGUAUUCUGGCGGGCAUGCCUGUUCGAGCGUCAUUUCAACCCUCAAGCCCUCGGGUUUGGUGUUGGGGAUCGGCGAGCCUUUCUGGCAAGCCGGCCCCGAAAUCUAGUGGCGGUCUCGCUGCAGCCUCCAUUGCGUAGUAGUAAAACCCUCGCAACUGGAACGCGGCGCGGCCAAGCCGUUAAACCCCCAACUUCUGAAUGUUGACCUCGGAUCAGGUAGGAAUACCCGCUGAACUUAAGCAUAUCAAAAGCGGAGGA
rnacentral:misc_RNA from 1 species